GACGAACGCUGGCGGCGUGCUUAACACAUGCAAGUCGAACGGAAAGGCCCUGCUUGCAGGGUACUUGAGUGGCGAACGGGUGAGUAACACGUGGGUGAUCUGCCCUGCACUUCGGGAUAAGCUUGGGAAACUGGGUCUAAUACCGGAUAGGAGCCAUCUUUAGUGUGGUGGUUGGAAAGUUUUUUCGGUGUAGGAUGAGCUCGCGGCCUAUCAGCUUGUUGGUGGGGUAAUGGCCUACCAAGGCGGCGACGGGUAGCCGGCCUGAGAGGGUGUACGGCCACAUUGGGACUGAGAUACGGCCCAGACUCCUACGGGAGGCAGCAGUGGGGAAUAUUGCACAAUGGGCGCAAGCCUGAUGCAGCGACGCCGCGUGGGGGAUGAAGGCCUUCGGGUUGUAAACUCCUUUCGCUAGGGACGAAGCUUUUUGUGACGGUACCUAGAUAAGAAGCACCGGCUAACUACGUG
rnacentral:rRNA from 1 species